CACGUGAGGCUGUAAACUCUGAACCUUGCAAACUUCCUUGGAACUGCUCCCUACUCUCUUCCUCCUGCAGUUACAAACUCGACUCUGAAGCCACCUCUCUUCCUCUCCUCUUAUGAAAAGCCCCGUCCAGGAUACACGCCUAAAAAGCCCACUGGAGACUUUCACCAUCCAGGACAAGCUGCCCGCUCUCCAGCCCAUUAAACCCGGAUCCUCCUCUCGAACUGUCUCCCUCGAGCUGUCCCAGCUUCAGCAGCUUGGAAGGCUGCCUCUCCGCUGCCGGCAAAAAGGGCUUUUCAAUCAACCAGGGACUUUGCGGUGUCCCUGGGAUCAACAGGACAAGUCCUUGUCAAUCACCGUCUCUACAGGACAGUUUAGGUCCAUGUGGACCGACCAGCAGCUGAGAUAUCAACGGCGAUCUUGGAGGAUCAAGAUCGCCCGUCAUACCGCUGUGACGCCAGCUCCACCCUCUGUAUUUUUCCCCUUCUUGAGUAAUGUAAGCUGGUAAUGUAGGCUGGUUUAAUCUUUGACUAAAGAUUGCCUUUAAUGCCAGUAAAGGGAAAACCUUUUCCGCUUUGCCAGCAAAGAUGAACGACAAGCUGUAUUUUGUCUUUAAAUUGCUGGCUGGAUUUGGAUUCCCUCUUUAGGGGGGAAGAAUUAUGACCCGCUUCUGUGGAGAUGGCCCAUCCUAAAGAAUUUACAACCCUGUUGCUUGGAGACCACCAUCAUAAACUUGGGUAGAAGAGCCUCUCGAUGAACGGAGGGGAAUCAACUUUUGUUGUUGUUUUUCUGACUGAAGACCCAGGAAAUAUCACAAUUUCUUACUCAAAUCCUGUCUUUCUUGUUUGCAAACAGUCUCUAAGGUAGCAGAGAGAAACAGGAGAAUACAAAGAGAGCCCGCAAGGAUGCUACUUGUUUGUCUCUUGUAAAUGGGGGGGAAUUCUGCCCCCUCCCAGUAAUUCAAGCAGGCUUUGUAACUUCAGUUGCUCAGAGGGAGAGAGAGAGAGAGAGAGAGAGUUCAGAGUUUAAAUUCUCCUUUAUUAAAUAUAACAGUUUAGGGAGAACAUUAAUCUUGAUCGUAGGUAUUCUAUCUAAUGAUGAGAUUUGCAUUUUGCUCCAAUUUUCCAAAUCCCUUCCAAUUUGUUGUAAUAUUUUAGUAUAAUUCUCUUCCUUCACAGUUGAAGCUCUAGGUCUUAACCAUAUGCUUAAAUAUUUAAUCUUGUUUACAAUUUGUAAUCCCAUUGUUUUCUCUAAUUCUUUUUGUCUGUUAUUUGUUAAGUUUUUAACUAACAUUUUAGUCUUUCCUUUAUUGAUUUUCAUCCCCGCUAAUUUACCAAAUUUAUUGAUUUCAUUUAAUAAUAUUGGU
rnacentral:lncRNA from 1 species